UACGAAGGGGGCUAGCGUUGCUCGGAAUCACUGGGCGUAAAGGGUGCGUAGGCGGGUCUUUAAGUCAGGGGUGAAAUCCUGGAGCUCAACUCCAGAACUGCCUUUGAUACUGAAGAUCUUGAGUUCGGGAGAGGUGAGUGGAACUGCGAGUGUAGAGGUGAAAUUCGUAGAUAUUCGCAAGAACACCAGUGGCGAAGGCGGCUCACUGGACCGACAUUGACGCUGAGGAGCGAAAGCCAGGGGAGCAAACGGG
rnacentral:rRNA from 1 species